rnacentral:tRNA from 1 species
GCCCUUGUAGCUCAGUUGGUAGAGCGCGUCUUUGGUAAAGACGAGGUCUCGGGUCCGAUUCCCGACGAGGGCUCAA